AAUACAGAUUUUUAAAGUAGAGAAAAUUGAAAUAUUACAAUAAAAUGAAAGCAAAAUAAAAAUUAAUGCACAGAAAGGAAUUCUAUAAGCAGUUUUCCCAAAUACUAAAGUUUGGCUAUGAAUUCAGUUCUGACUUCUUGGCAGCUAAAGCAAAUGAGAAAACAUAAUGAAAUUCACAUACCUCUUAGGAUUUAUAAAAGCAUAUCAGUUCCCAAGAUGAGCAAAGUUUUGUGGCUCUUCUGAGAAGACACUGAGUGAUAUAGAGGACACCACCAUCUAUAAUACCUGAGAGGAAAUACGUUGAGUUUUGCACCAUUGUUUCUUAUAGAAACACCAAGUGGGGAUUCAGUAGGUCCUAAGCUUGUUCUAUCAGUCUUAUCACAGUUUAGCUCAAAUAUGCUGUAUGUUGCUACAGUUUAACAUAGGGCUAAAUUUUAGACUAUCUAAAUGGACAAAUGGAUUGUUUAUCCUUCAAACAGUUUUCUGUAAAUGUUAUUUCUCCAAAUGACACUUUUGAUAAAAGUUAAGUAAAAGUUACAUUUUUAGCAAAUUGAUGGAUUGUAGAUAUUUUGGGUUUUUACUUAAGACCACAUCCUUUGAAAACUUUCAAAGCUGCCUUAAAUGUGGAUACAGGCAAAAUAUAAAUAACUUAUUUUAAAAAUUAACCAAAAGCCUAAUGUGAUGCAAUUCUUCAUUCAAUCAUUUAUGCAGCAAACAUUUAAGCAUCUUCUGUGUGCUAAGCACAGUUGUAGGCACUGAGUUAGAGAAGCGAACAAACAGGCACAGAUUUCUACCUUCAUGUUACUUACAUUCUAGUAAAAGAAAUAAACAAUAAGUAAAUUUCAUAGUAUUCACUAACAUAACAUUUCAUGUUAGGUGACAAAUGCUAUGAAGAAAAGUAAUGCAUUUGCACAGGAUUGGAAGAUGUACAUAUGUAUAGAUUUCAAUGUUU